GUCAAUGGACGCGCACAUGAGGCCUUAUGAUGAUCUCCUUACCAACAGGUACUAGACCUCUUCAUGCCCGCAGCCGAGACCACCGACUCUGAUCGGCAAAACGAUGCUGUCUUAGACGAUGCGACGCCGCUGCGCUCCGUAGCUUCUGUUUCUCGGUCUCCGGCGCUGCCGUGGGAGAGCGACUGUGAGGAUCAGGUCAAGGAGGGGAUCGUUAUGUUUUCGACCGAUGGCGGGAGUGGCAAGAAGAAGAAAAAGACAAGGUUUUGGUUGAAGAAGAAUGGAGUAGUUAAUAAUGUUACUAAGAACUUGGGUGAUGAUUCCAUCUUAAAGGCCUUGAGGAGUUCGUCUCCUUUGGAUAAAUCGACUCCUUUUGGGCUAAAUUAACACCUAUUAUGAGGCCACCUAACAUCCCCAUUCAGCAUGUGAUUCUGAUAGCAUAAUCCAGUUUCCGGUUUGUAAAUAUACAAUCUUCAGACAAGUGGUAGUGAUGGUACCAUGGAAUGUACUAUAUUUAUCAUAAUGUACAGAAUGUACUAAAAUCUGAAAAGUAUAUUGGAAACUAGUCCAGGAGUACCAUGGAAGAGCUGAAGAAAUAAAUGAGGAUUGUCUCAUCUUGAUUGGAUUGGAGGGGAAUUUUGUAUUUGCAGUCAAAUGAUUUAGGCUGUUGAAGAAUGUUGAUGCUGUAUUACUGAUACUUUU